GGCGGUGUGCUUAAUAAUGCAAGUCGAACGAUGAAGCCCUUCGGGGCGGAAGAGUGGCGGACGGCUGAGUAACGCGUAGGUAACGUACCCUUCACUGGGGGAUAACGCCGGGAAACCGGCGCUAAUACCGCAUAAGUUAUUUCUUGAAAUAGGAAUAAUUAAAGAUUUAUCGGUGAUGGAUCGGCCUGCGUCUGAUUAGCUAGUUGGUAGGGUAAAGGCCUACCAAGGCAAUGAUCAGUAGUUGGUCUGAGAGGAUGACCAGCCAGAGUGGGACUGAGACACGGCCCACACUUCUACGGAAGGCAGCAGUAGGGAAUUUUGCGCAAUGGGCGAAAGCCUGACGCAGCAACACCGCGUGUAGGAUGAAGGUUUUCGGAUCGUAAACUACUGUCGGCAGGGACUAUAAUGACUGCACCUGCAAAGGAAGCAUCGGCUAACUACGUGCCAGCAGCCGCGGUAAGACGUAGGAUGCAAGCGUUGUCCGGAAUUAUUGGGCGUAAAGAGUUCGUAGGCGGUUACUUAAGUCUGGUGUUAAAUACUGGCGCUCAACGUCGGCAUGGCAUUGGAAAC
rnacentral:rRNA from 1 species